GGAUGCGAUCAUACUAGCACUAAAGCAUCGGAUCGCAUGAGAACUCUGAAGUUAAGCGUGCUUGGGCGAGAGUAGUACUAGGAUGGGUGACCUCCUGGGAAGUCCUCGUGUUGCAUUCC
rnacentral:rRNA from 1 species